UAUGGCUGGCCACCCACAGAAUGGACUUGAAGCAUGGCUUUCUGCCUUUCAAGGUGUAUUCUUUCCUUGACCUUCGGCCUUUGAACACCACUCAUAUCAACAAACUCCUCAGUUGUGUUGAUGAAUUGAUCUUAUGCUGGGGUCAUCAGGAGUCUUCAUGUGAAGAGAGGCAAUAAUGAUCUUGGAGCUCUUCCUCUGAGAUCCCGUCUCUGCCUCUAAAGUCUGUUUAAGAAAGCAUGUGAAGAUCAUAAUAAAGGAGAGCCAUUUUGAGUCAGUAUGGCUGUUUCCCUCAAAUUGGGCUUGGAGCCCCAUUUCUGCUGUCCCUGCUGUUUUCCAUCCCCAAAUAUGGGCACUUUCAGGAGAAUAUGUAUAAUUACUCCCUUAUUUCAAGGAAAUGAUCUUAUGCUACAUCUUUCUGGAGACUUCAUCUGGAGAAGGUAAGGAACCAGGAUCUGCUUGCAGCUCUUUGCCUGAGACCCUGUUUCUACAGCUCAAAUAUCCCAUGCCUUCUGAGUAAUCUUAAAUGCAGCCAGCAUCACCUUCAAGAAAAUGCUAGAUGCAAAGCAAUUCAACCGCUCCUUUGAUUACCUAAAGUCCUGAGGUGAAUCUAUUGGUAAGGUCCAAUAUUUUGACCAGCGCGAAGGAGAAAGCAACUCUCCCAACAGUCAUGAUCCUCGGUGAUUUUCUUGGUGUUUUCCGUUUGGUUGUUCUGUAUUCUUCCAAUAGGCUGUAAUCCAACAGGUUUGUCAGGGUGCAACUUCCCAUUGUAAGGUAAGUCAUUAAUCAUUAAUCACUCAUUGCAAUGCAAUUUUUCUUUUUUUUUGUUCCCUAAGCAUUUUAUUUCAUUAGGUCAAGGCUAUAUGUCACACUGAUGGAUGGAGUCCAAUGGCCAGUCUAUGGGAACCAGGCAGCAGCCUACUCAGGCUUCUCUUAUGCUGUGGGUUCUGCAGUGGGCAAUUGGACCCGAUUUCACCAGGGAAUUCCUCUUUGAAAAAGGUGAGGUUUAAAUGGGAUGCCAUUUCCGAAGUUUGCUGAGCCGCUAGCAUUGACUUGGCUUCCGUGGUGUUCACAAUAUGGAAACAAAGCAGAGCUGUAGAAAUGGUUAUUUCUUGGAGAUUAUGAAGAUCAGGAUCACAGAAGAGCCAUUCCUGCAUAUAUUCUUUUUUUUUUAAUUUUUAUUUAAUAAUAAUUAUAUUGACAGAAUCCAUGCCAGGGUAAUUUUUUUUUACAACAUUAUCCCUUGCACUCGUUUCUGUUCUGAUUUUUCCCCUCCCUCCCUCCACCCCCUCCCCUAGAUGGCAAGCUGUCCUAUAUAUGUUGGAUAUGUUUCCUGCAUAUAUUCUUAAUCAUUAUAUCUGGCCACCACAGAAUGGGCUUAAAGCAUGGCUUUCUGCCUUUCAAGGUGUAUUCUUUCCUUGACCUUCGGCCUUUGAACGCCACUCGUAUCAACAAACUCCUCAGUUGUGUCGAUGAAUUGAUCUUAUGCUGGGCUCAUCAGGAGUCUUCAUGUGAAGAGAGGCAAUAAUGAUCUUGGAGCUCUUCCUCUGAGAUCCCGUCUCUGCCUCUAAAGUCUGUUUAAGAAAGCAUGUGAAGAUCAUAAUAAAGGAGAGCCAUUUUGAGUCAGUAUGGCUGUCUCCCUCAAAUUGGGCUUGGAGCCCCAUUUCUGCUGUCCCUGCUGUUUUCCAUCCCCAAAUAUGGGCACUUUCAGGAGAAUAUGUAUAAUUACUCCCUUAUUUCAAGGAAAUGAUCUUAUGCUACGUCUUUCUGGAGACUUCAUCUGGAGAAGGUAAGGAACCAGGAUCUGCUUGCAGCACUUUGCCUGAGAUCCUGUUUCUGCAUCUCAAAUAUUCCAUGCCUUCUGAGUAAUCUUAAAUGCAGCCAGCAUCACCUUCAAGAAAAUGCUAGAUGCAAAGCGAUUCAACCGCUCCUUUGAUUACCUAAAGUCCUGAGGAGAAUCCAUUGGUGAGGUCCAGUAUUUCAACCAGUGCGAAGGAGAAAGCAACUCUCCCAACAGACAUGAUCGUCGGUGAUUUUUUGGUGUUUUCCAUUUGGUUGUUCUAUAUUCUUCCAGUGGGCUGUAAUCCAACAGCUUUGUCGGGGUGCAACUUCCUAUUGUAGGUAAGUCAUUGUUCACUCAUUGCAAUGCAAUUUUUCUUUUUUUUUCCUCCCUAAGCAUUUUAUUUCAUUAGGUCAAGGCUAUAUGUCACACUGGUGGAUGGGGUCCAAUGGCCAGUCUAUGGGAACCAGGCAGCAGCCUACUCAGGCUUCUCUUAUACUCUGGUGAGUGCUCAGAUGUUUCUGUGUUUCCGUUCAUGAUCCAUCGUCCACUAUAUUCUUAAGAUGUGCAAUUCGGCUUCCUUUUCGACGCCAUUGUCAAGCAAUUGUUUUCAAAUUUUUUGAAAACCAAUCAGAUAAAUGUAUACCCUUCUGUAAAUUUUACCCCUGUCUUUCCAAUGUAAAUCAAGUCACUAAUGUCCAUUUUACAACGUACAAAUGUACUCCAUGUACAAAGGCACCACAGAUCAAUAUGUUCUUUUCCGGGAAGGUUCUCUAGUGGGCAAUCAGACUUAAUUUCACCAGAAACUGCCUCCUUGAAGCAGUGGAGCAUCAGAUGGUGUCCUAUCUCUGAAAUUUGCUGAGCAGCUAGCAUUGACUUGGCUUCCAUGAUGAUGACAAUAUGGAACCAAAGCAGAGAAUUGAAAUUAUUGCUUCCUAGAGCUUGUGAAGAUCAAAAUCAGAAAGAGCCAUUCCUGCUCGUAUCAUUAGUCAGCCUGGUUGCCCCCCACAGAAUGGGCUUGAAGCACCAUUUCUGCCAUUCAUGGUGUCUUUCUUCCUUGGCCAUGGGCAUUUGGACCCCGCUUGUGUCAACCAACUCCUCAGUUCUGUCGAUGAAUUGAUCCUGUGUUACGGUCAUCAGGAGUCUUCAUGUGAAGAUAGGCAACCGUGGUCUGCUUGCGGCUCUUCCUCUGAGAACCUGUUCCUGCAUCUAAAAUAUUUUUGGUAGCGCAUGUGAUGAUCAUGAUUAAAACAGUAAUUCUUGUAUACCUCUUUAGUCAGUAUGGCUGGCUCACUCCAAAUGGGCUUGGACAGUCAUUUCUGACAUUCACGCUGCUUUCCUGCCCCAAAGAUGGGCACUUUUAGUAGAAUACGUACAACCAUUUGCUUGUGUCGGUGAAAUGAUCUUAUGCUACAUCCGUCUGGAGAUUUCAUCUGGAGAAGGUAAGGAACCAGGAUCUGCUUGCAGCUCUUUGCCUGAGACCCUGUUUCUACAGCUCAAAUAUCCCAUGCCUUCUGAGUAAUCUUAAAUGCAGCCAGCAUCACCUUCAAGAAAAUGCUAGAUGCAAAGCAAUUCAACCGCUCCUUUGAUUACCUAAAGUCCUGAGGUGAAUCUAUUGGUAAGGUCCAAUAUUUUGACCAGUGCGAAGGAGAAAGCAACUCUCCCAACAGUCAUGAUCCUCGGUGAUUUUCUUGGUGUUUUCCGUUUGGUUGUUCUGUAUUCUUCCAAUAGGCUGUAAUCCAACAGGUUUGUCAGGGUGCAACUUCCCAUUGUAAGGUAAGUCAUUAAUCAUUAAUCACUCAUUGCAAUGCAAUUUUUCUUUUUUUUUGUUCCCUAAGCAUUUUAUUUCAUUAGGUCAAGGCUAUAUGUCACACUGAUGGAUGGAGUCCAAUGGCCAGUCUAUGGGAACCAGGCAGCAGCCUACUCAGGCUUCUCUUAUGCUGUGGGUUCUGCAGUGGGCAAUUGGACCCGAUUUCACCAGGGAAUUCCUCUUUGAAAAAGGUGAGGUUUAAAUGGGAUGCCAUUUCCGAAGUUUGCUGAGCCGCUAGCAUUGACUUGGCUUCCGUGGUGUUCACAAUAUGGAAACAAAGCAGAGCUGUAGAAAUGGUUAUUUCUUGGAGAUUAUGAAGAUCAGGAUCAAAGAAGAGCCAUUCCUGCAUAUAUUCUUUUUUUUUUAAUUUUUAUUUAAUAAUAAUUAUAUUGACAGAAUCCAUGCCAGGGUAAUUUUUUUUUACAACAUUAUCCCUUGCACUCGUUUCUGUUCUGAUUUUUCCCCUCCCUCCCUCCACCCCCUCCCCUAGAUGGCAAGCUGUCCUAUAUAUGUUGGAUAUGUUUCCUGCAUAUAUUCUUAAUCAUUAUAUCUGGCCUCGUUUCUGUUCUGAUUUUUCCCCUCCCUCCCUCCACCCCCUCCCCUAGAUGGCAAGCUGUCCUAUAUAUGUUGGAUAUGUUUCCUGCAUAUAUUCUUAAUCAUUAUAUCUGGCCACCACAGAAUGGGCUUAAAGCAUGGCUUUCUGCCUUUCAAGGUGUAUUCUUUCCUUGACCUUCGGCCUUUGAACACCACUCAUAUCAACAAACUCCUCAGUUGUGUUGAUGAAUUGAUCUUAUGCUGGGGUCAUCAGGAGUCUUCAUGUGAAGAGAGGCAAUAAUGAUCUUGGAGCUCUUCCUCUGAGAUCCCGUCUCUGCCUCUAAAGUCUGUUUAAGAAAGCAUGUGAAGAUCAUAAUAAAGGAGAGCCAUUUUGAGUCAGUAUGGCUGUUUCCCUCAAAUUGGGCUUGGAGCCCCAUUUCUGCUGUCCCUGCUGUUUUCCAUCCCCAAAUAUGGGCACUUUCAGGAGAAUAUGUAUAAUUACUCCCUUAUUUCAAGGAAAUGAUCUUAUGCUACAUCUUUCUGGAGACUUCAUCUGGAGAAGGUAAGGAACCAGGAUCUGCUUGCAGCUCUUUGCCUGAGACCCUGUUUCUACAGCUCAAAUAUCCCAUGCCUUCUGAGUAAUCUUAAAUGCAGCCAGCAUCACCUUCAAGAAAAUGCUAGAUGCAAAGCAAUUCAACCGCUCCUUUGAUUACCUAAAGUCCUGAGGUGAAUCUAUUGGUAAGGUCCAAUAUUUUGACCAGUGCGAAGGAGAAAGCAACUCUCCCAACAGUCAUGAUCCUCGGUGAUUUUCUUGGUGUUUUCCGUUUGGUUGUUCUGUAUUCUUCCAAUAGGCUGUAAUCCAACAGGUUUGUCAGGGUGCAACUUCCCAUUGUAAGGUAAGUCAUUAAUCAUUAAUCACUCAUUGCAAUGCAAUUUUUCUUUUUUUUUGUUCCCUAAGCAUUUUAUUUCAUUAGGUCAAGGCUAUAUGUCACACUGAUGGAUGGAGUCCAAUGGCCAGUCUAUGGGAACCAGGCAGCAGCCUACUCAGGCUUCUCUUAUGCUGUGGGUUCUGCAGUGGGCAAUUGGACCCGAUUUCACCAGGGAAUUCCUCUUUGAAAAAGGUGAGGUUUAAAUGGGAUGCCAUUUCCGAAGUUUGCUGAGCCGCUAGCAUUGACUUGGCUUCCGUGGUGUUCACAAUAUGGAAACAAAGCAGAGCUGUAGAAAUGGUUAUUUCUUGGAGAUUAUGAAGAUCAGGAUCAAAGAAGAGCCAUUCCUGCAUAUAUUCUUUUUUUUUUAAAUUUUUAUUUAAUAAUAAUUAUAUUGACCGAAUCCAUGCCAGGGUAAUUUUUUUUUACAACAUUAUCCCUUGCACUCGUUUCUGUUCCGAUUUUUCCCCUCCUUCCCUCCACCCCCUCCCCUAGAUAGCAAGCUGUCCUAUAUAUGUUGGAUAUGUUUCCUGCAUAUAUUCUUAAUCAUUAUAUCUGGCCACCACAGAAUGGGCUUAAAGCAUGGCUUUCUGCCUUUCAAGGUGUAUUCUUUCCUUGACCUUCGGCCUUUGAACGCCACUCGUAUCAACAAACUCCUCAGUUGUGUCGAUGAAUUGAUCUUAUGCUGGGCUCAUCAGGAGUCUUCAUGUGAAGAGAGGCAAUAAUGAUCUUGGAGCUCUUCCUCUGAGAUCCCGUCUCUGCCUCUAAAGUCUGUUUAAGAAAGCAUGUGAAGAUCAUAAUAAAGGAGAGCCAUUUUGAGUCAGUAUGGCUGUCUCCCUCAAAUUGGGCUUGGAGCCCCAUUUCUGCUGUCCCUGCUGUUUUCCAUCCCCAAAUAUGGGCACUUUCAGGAGAAUAUGUAUAAUUACUCCCUUAUUUCAAGGAAAUGAUCUUAUGCUACGUCUUUCUGGAGACUUCAUCUGGAGAAGGUAAGGAACCAGGAUCUGCUUGCAACACUUUGCCUGAGAUCCUGUUUCUGCAUCUCAAAUAUUCCAUGCCUUCUGAGUAAUCUUAAAUGCAGCCAGCAUCACCUUCAAGAAAAUGCUAGAUGCAAAGCGAUUCAACCGCUCCUUUGAUUACCUAAAGUCCUGAGGAGAAUCCAUUGGUGAGGUCCAGUAUUUCAACCAGUGCGAAGGAGAAAGCAACUCUCCCAACAGACAUGAUCGUCGGUGAUUUUUUGGUGUUUUCCAUUUGGUUGUUCUAUAUUCUUCCAGUGGGCUGUAAUCCAACAGCUUUGUCGGGGUGCAACUUCCUAUUGUAGGUCAAGGCUAUAUGUCACACUGGUGGAUGGGGUCCAAUGGCCAGUCUAUGGGAACCAGGCAGCAGCCUACUCAGGCUUCUCUUAUACUCUGCCACAGAGAUCACUCCCGCCCCUGGUUUGCUCAGGACACUAGCCUCUCGCUGCCUGUUCUAGUCUGUUCCUGGCCCCUCAGGACAAACCUUUCCUGGCGAGCUUCCGGAU